UACGUAGGGUGCGAGCGUUAAUCGGAAUUACUGGGCGUAAAGAGUGCGUAGGCGGUUCGUUAAGUCAGCUGUGAAAGCCCCGGGCUCAACCUGGGAACUGCGGUUGAAACUGGCGAACUAGAAUCUGGCAGAGGGGGGUGGAAUUCCACGUGUAGCAGUGAAAUGCGUAGAGAUGUGGAGGAACACCGGUGGUGUAGACGGCUCUCUGGACCGUAACUGACGCUGAGACACGAAAGCGUGGGUAGCAAACAGG
rnacentral:rRNA from 1 species